rnacentral:misc_RNA from 1 species
GAAAUGCGAUAAGUAGUGUGAAUUGCAGAAUUCAGUGAAUCAUCGAAUCUUUGAACGCACAUUGCGCCCCUUGGUAUUCCAUGGGGCAUACUUGUUCGAGCGUCAUUUGUACUCUCAAGCUCUGCUUGGUGUUGGGUGUUUGUCCUCUCCCCGUGUUUGGACUCGCCUUAAAGUCAUUGGCAGCCGAUGUAUUGGUUUUGAAGCGCAGCACAAUUUGCGGUUCUGGCCGGUUAUCAUCAGCGUCCAUUAAGCAUCAUUAACACUUUUGACCUCGGAUCAAGUAGGGAUACCCGCUGAACUUAA